GACGAACGCUGGCGGCGUGCUUAACACAUGCAAGUCGAACGGUAAGGCCCUUCGGGGUACACGAGUGGCGAACGGGUGAGUAACACGUGGGUGAUCUGCCCUGCACUUCGGGAUAAGCCUGGGAAACUGGGUCUAAUACCGGAUAGGACUCCGGACUGCAUGGUCUGGGGUGGAAAGCUUUUGCGGUGUGGGAUGGGCCCGCGGGCUAUCAGCUUGUUUGUGGGGCGAUGGCCUACCAAGGCGACGACGGGUAGCCGGCCUGAGAGGGUGACCGGCCCCACUGGGGCUGAGAUACGGCCCAGACUCCUACGGGAGGCAGCAGUGGGGAAUAUUGCACAAUGGGCGCAAGCCUGAUGCAGCGAGGCCGCGUGAGGGAUGACGGCCUUCGGGUUGUAAACCUCUUUCAGCACAGACGAAGCGCAAGUGACGGUAUGUGCAGAAGAAGGACCGGCCAACUACGUGCCAGCCGCCGCGGUAA
rnacentral:rRNA from 1 species